rnacentral:rRNA from 1 species
AGAGUUCGAUUAUGGCUCAGGAUGAACGCUGGCGGCGUGCUUAACACAUGCAAGUCGAACGAAGCGAUGGAGAACGGACUUUUCGGAGGAAGGUUUCCAUGGACUGAGUGGCGGACGGGUGAGUAACGCGUGGGGAACCUACCCUGUACAGGGGGAUAACAGUUAGAAAUGACUGCUAAUACCGCAUAAGCGCACAGCUUCGCAUGGAGCAGUGUGAAAAACUGAGGUGGUACAGGAUGGACCCGCGUUGGAUUAGCUGGUUGGCGGGGUAACGGCCCACCAAGGCGACGAUCCAUAGCCGGCCUGAGAGGGUGAACGGCCACAUUGGGACUGAGACACGGCCCAA